rnacentral:rRNA from 1 species
UAGCGUAUAUUAAAGUUGUUGCGGUAAAAAAGCUCGUAGUUGGAUUUCUGUUGAGGAUGGCCGGUCCAUACCACGUAUGCGCAUCUGGUUUUUCAUCCUCGGCAUCCUCUCGAAAUACGUUGCUGUGCUUGAUUGCAUGGUGCGGAGUUCGGGACUUUUACUUUGAGGAAAUUAGAGUGUUCACGGCAGGCUAUCGCCCGAAUACGUUAGCAUGGAAUAAUAAUAUAGGAUCUCGGUUCUAUUUUGUUGGUUUCUAGGAUUGAGAUAAUGAUUAAUAGGGACAAUUGGGGGCAUUCGUAUCAAUACGUC